UUGGGUUAAGUCCCGCAACGAGCGCAACCCACGUUUUUAGUUGCCAGCAUUGAGUUGGGCACUCUAGAGAGACUGCCGGUGACAAACCGGAGGAAGGUGUGGAUGACGUCAAGUCAGCAUGCCCCUUACGUUCUGGGCUACACACGUACUACAAUGCUUCGGACAAAGGGCAGCGAGCGCGCGAGUGCAAGCCAAUCCCAUAAACCGAGGCUCAGUUCAGAUUGCAGGCUGCAACUCGCCUGCAUGAAGGCGGAAUCGCUAGUAAUCGCAGGUCAGCAUACUGCGGUGAAUACGUUCCCGGGCCUUGUACACACCGCCCGUCACACCAUGGGAGUUGGCCACGCCCGAAGUCGUUACUCCAACCGUUCGCGGAGGAGGAUGCCGAAGGCAGGGCUGAUGACUGGGGUGAAGUCGUAACAAGGUAACCAAGCCGAAUUC
rnacentral:rRNA from 1 species